GGACGAUUGGCUCAGCGGUAGAGCACCACAUUGACAUUGUGGGGGUCACUGGUUCGAUCCCAGUAUCGUCCACAA
rnacentral:tRNA from 4 species